rnacentral:rRNA from 1 species
UACGGGGGGAGCAAGCGUUGUUCGGAUUUACUGGGCGUAAAGGGCGCGUAGGCGGCCAGCACAAGUCAGUUGUGAAAUCUCCGGGCUUAACUCGGAAAGGUCAACUGAUACUGUGCGGCUAGAGUGCAGAAGGGGCAACUGGAAUUCUCGGUGUAGCGGUGAAAUGCGUAGAUAUCAAGCGGAACACCGGUGGCGAAGGCGGCCUUCUGGACGAUGACUGACGCUGAGACGCGAAAGCGUGGGGAGCAAACAGG